rnacentral:rRNA from 1 species
UACCUGCAGCUCGAGUGGUAACCGCUAUUAUUGGGCCUAAAGCGUCCGUAGCCGGUUUGGUAAAUAUCUGGGUAAAUCGUGAGGCUUAACUUCACGAAUUUCGGAUAGACUGCCAGACUUGGGAUCGGGGGAGGUCAGAGGUACUCCAGGGGUAGCGGUGAAAUGUUGUAAUCCUUGGAGGACCACCGGUAGCGAAGGCGUCUGACUGGAACGAGUCCGACGGUGAGGGACGAAGCCCUGGGGCGCAAACCGGAUUAGAUACCCGGGUAGUCCAGGGUGUAAACGAUGUGGGCUUUGUAUUGGAGGUCCCACGUGGGCGUCCAGUGCAGAAGAGAAGUUGUUAAGCCCACCGCCUGGGAAGUACGGUCGCAAGGCCGAAACUUAAAGGAAUUGGCGGGGGAGCACAGCAACGGGAGGAGCGUGCGGUUU